rnacentral:rRNA from 1 species
UACAGAGGGGGCAAGCGUUGUCCGGAAUUAUUGGGCGUAAAGAGCUCGUAGGCGGUUCGGUAAGUCGGGUGUGAAAACUCUGGGCUCAACCCAGAGAGGCCACCCGAUACUGCUGUGACUAGAGUGCGGUAGGGGAGCGGGGAAUUCCUGGUGUAGCGGUGAAAUGCGCAGAUAUCAGGAGGAACACCAGCGGCGAAGGCGCCGCUCUGGGCCGUAACUGACGCUGAGGAGCGAAAGCAUGGGUAGCAAACAGG